GAACCAACAGGGAUUGCCUCAGUAACGGCGAGUGAAGCGGCAACAGCUCAAAUUUGAAAUCUGGCCCCUUCGGGGUCCGAGUUGUAAUUUGUAGAAGAUGCUUCGGGUGCGGCCCCGGUCUAAGUUCCUUGGAACAGGACGUCACAGAGGGUGAGAAUCCCGUACGUGCCCGGUGGUCGCCCCCAUGUGAAGCUCUUUCGACGAGUCGAGUUGUUUGGGAAUGCAGCUCAAAAUGGGUGGUAAAUUUCAUCUAAAGCUAAAUAUUGGCCAGAGACCGAUAGCGCACAAGUAGAGUGAUCGAAAGAUGAAAAGCACUUUGGAAAGAGAGUUAAACAGUACGUGAAAUUGUUGAAAGGGAAGCGCUUGCAACCAGACUUGCGCGUGGCCGAUCAUCCGGUGUUCGCACCGGUGCACUCGACCGCGCGCAGGCCAGCAUCGGUUUGGGUGGCUGGAUAAAGGCCUCGGGAAUGUGGCUCCCCUCGGGGAGUGUUAUAGCCCGAGGUGCAAUGCAGCCUACCCGGACCGAGGACCGCGCUUCGGCUAGGAUGCUGGCGUAAUGGUUGUAAGCGACCCGUC
rnacentral:rRNA from 1 species